AACGAACGCUGGCGGCAGGCUUAACACAUGCAAGUCGAACGCAUCGCAAGAUGAGUGGCAGACGGGUGAGUAACGCGUGGGAAUCUACCGUACCCUACGGAAUAACGCAUGGAAACGUGUGCUAAUACCGUAUACGCCCUACGGGGGAAAGAUUUAUCGGGGUAUGAUGAGCCCGCGUUGGAUUAGCUAGUUGGUGGGGUAAAGGCCUACCAAGGCGACGAUCCAUAGCUGGUCUGAGAGGAUGAUCAGCCACAUUGGGACUGAGACACGGCCCAAACUCCUACGGGAGGCAGCAGUGGGGAAUAUUGGACAAUGGGCGCAAGCCUGAUCCAGCCAUGCCGCGUGAGUGAUGAAGGCCCUAGGGUUGUAAAGCUCUUUCACCGGUGAAGAUAAUGACGGUAACCGGAGAAGAAGCCCCGGCUAACUUCGUGCCAGCCGCCGCAGUAAAAC
rnacentral:rRNA from 1 species